rnacentral:rRNA from 1 species
UACGUAGGUGGCAAGCGUUAUCCGGAUUUAUUGGGCGUAAAGCGAGCGCAGGUGGUUUAUUAAGUCUGGUGUAAAAGGCAGUGGCUCAACCAUUGUAUGCAUUGGAAACUGGUAGACUUGAGUGCAGAAGAGGAGAGUGGAACUCCAUGUGUAGCGGUGGAAUGCGUAGAUAUAUGGAAGAACACCAGUGGCGAAGGCGGCUCUCUGGUCUGCAACUGACGCUGAGGCUCGAAAGCAUGGGUAGCGAACAGG